GCGGCGAGUGAGCGGCAAAGCUCAAUUUGAAAUCUGGCACUUUCAGUGUCCGAGUUGUAAUUUGAAGAAGGUAUCUUUGGGUCUGGCUCUUGUCUAUGUUUCUUGGAACAGAACGUCACAGAGGGUGAGAAUCCCGUGCGAUGAGAUGUCCCAGACCUAUGUAAAGUUCCUUCGAAGAGUCGAGUUGUUUGGGAAUGCAGCUCUAAGUGGGUGGUAAAUUCCAUCUAAAGCUAAAUAUUGGCGAGAGACCGAUAGCGAACAAGUACAGUGAUGGAAAGAUGAAAAGAACUUUGAAAAGAGAGUGAAAAAGUACGUGAAAUUGUUGAAAGGGAAGGGCUUGAGAUCAGACUUGGUAUUUUGUAUGUUACUCUCUCGGGGGUGGCCUCUACAGUUUACCGGGCCAGCAUCAGUUUGAGCGGUAGGAUAAGUGCAAAGAAAUGUGGCACUGCUUCGGUAGUGUGUUAUAGUCUUUGUCGAUACUGCCAGCUUAGACUGAGGACUGCGGCUUCGGCCUAGGAUGUUGGCAUAAUGAUCUUAAGUCGCCCGUCU
rnacentral:rRNA from 1 species